CGCUGUGCCAGGAUUAAAUCAUGAUUUAUGGUUGUGUGGAGACUCCACGCCGAGCUUUCGCCGUAGCCUACAUUAGUGGCCUGACGUUUAUACUUGUGUCCAUCCGUAUGUGUGUGUGUGUGUGUGUG